CGCUAUGCACGCGCAGGUUACAUUAUGAGCUGCUUCUAAUUCAGCCAGUUACCCGGUACGCAGGUGAGAAUUAACCGAUUAGGUUAAGUAGUGAAAAAAGUAGGCCACGCACACUUUACACAUCUUCUGCGCACAAUUCUAUACACAUGCACAAUUAACACGCCUCCCGCUCGCCUAACCAUCCCUUCCACAUGCAAAAAACACACAAGCGACUCCUCGCAAAUACCAUCAGCGGCAGCGCGGCUCUCUGUGAGUGCAACGUUUCAGCAGCAUCGGUUCAACACGAGCAAACCGUGCACCGGUUUUGCCCAUCGUCGCCGUGCUUGCGUCAGCCCAAUGCUGGCGAACGAACCGAGGGGGCUCCUUGCCGAUGAAUCGAACUGGCAGCGGUUCAGCAGCGGUUCAAUCGUCUCAUGAGGGUUACUGACGCACAACUACGUGGGCGUUUUUAGAUGUUCUCCGACGCAAGUUGCAAAAUGAUUUAAAAUUCUGCAGCCCAUCUGCUGCUUAAAAUGCCACCGUCUCAUCACUGGUGCGUAGACUCGAGCAGGAAGACUCGCGCUAAGGACUGACGAGUGACAAGACAGAGCCGGGGAUGUGACUCACUGUGGGAAAUGGCAUCAGGUGGGAAUUGCUCACACUCAGCGUCACAUCUGGCAAUUGUAAAACUUUGUGUUUCCAGGUAAAAGGAGGCAUCACUGAACUGAUAUAAAUGUGCGUGUGACUUCGACUGCCUUUUUCAUGGUGUUGGCCGCAGGCGUUUUUCCAAAAUUUACGACGCUAUGUCAAACUCAAUAUAAAUCCUUCAAAAAUGUAAAGAUGCUUCAAUGUACACUUGACAGCAAGUGGAUAUUAUCGCAAUGUUAUUGCUGGCCAUAGGAUACACUCUUCUGCAUUUGUUACGUGUGAAUGUACAUAUCCAGGGGUAUGAAUAGAUUUUACCAAGUAAUGGAUUUUGUAUUACAAGGUACAUUGAACGCUCGACUCUCAUUGUGCUGGGCUACGACACGGGCAGGAAAAUGCCACGUAAGCAAAAACAUAUUGCAGACCCACCCAUACAGAUCAUUGUGAAUCACUGCCUUUGUGCGUGCAAGGUUUUUCUCUUACUACACCACAUUCUAUUCAACUCUCGAACGCAUUCUGCCAAGGGAAUGUGCAGACGUCGCAACACGCGGGACUGGGCGAGGCUCAUCUGGAUGAAGAAGAAGGAGGAGGAGGGGAUGCGGUUAAUCUCUUCUCCAAGCUCGUGUUGCACACUUGGCCGCGCACUUACAUGAG